GACGAACGCUGGCGGCGUGCUUAACACAUGCAAGUCGAACGAAAAGAGGGAAAGAGCUUGCUCUUUCCGGAAUUGAGUGGCAAACGGGUGAGUAACACGUAAACAACCUGCCUUCAGGAUGGGGACAACAGACGGAAACGACUGCUAAUACCGAAUAAGUUCCAAGAGCCGCAUGGCCCAUGGAAGAAAAGGUGGCCUCUACCUGUAAGCUAUCGCCUGAAGAGGGGUUUGCGUCUGAUUAGCUGGUUGGAGGGGUAACGGCCCACCAAGGCGACGAUCAGUAGCCGGUCUGAGAGGAGGAACGGCCACACUGGAACUGAGACACGGUCCAGACUCCUACGGGAGGCAGCAGUGGGGAAUCUUCCGCAAUGGGCGAAAGCCUGACGGAGCAACGCCGCGUGAGUGAUGACGGCCUUCGGGUUGUAAAACUCUGUGAUCCGGGACGAAAAGGCAGAGUGCGAAGAACAAACUGCAUUGACGGUACCGGAAAAGCAAGCCACGGCUAACUACGUG
rnacentral:rRNA from 1 species